GGAUUAGAUACCCUGGUAGUCCACGCCCUAAACGAUGUCGACUAGCUGUUGGGCUCAUAAAAGGGCUUAGUGGCGCAGCUAACGCGUUAAGUCGACCGCCUGGGGAGUACGGCCGCAAGGCUAAAACUCAAAGGAAUUGACGGGGGCCCGCACAAGCGGUGGAGCAUGUGGUUUAAUUCGAUGCAACGCGAAGAACCUUACCAGGUCUUGACAUCCUGAGAACUUUCUAGAGAUAGAUUGGUGCCUUCGGGAACUCAGAGACAGGUGCUGCAUGGCUGUCGUCAGCUCGUGUCG
rnacentral:rRNA from 1 species